GCUACAUCUACCUAUUGUCUAUUUUGAGUUUCUCAUGUAAAAGAAACCGUACAAUAUUUAAGCUCAUGUGUCUGACAUUUCACUUAAUAGUACAGUCUUAAGGUGCUUCCAUUUAUCUACUAAUACCUGAAGUUAAUCUUUCUUUAUGACAGAAUAGUACUCCAUUGUGUAUAAAUGCCAUGUAAAAUGUAGAAGAAGGAAGGAAAUUUGUCUAAAUAAGUCAUGACCACCUGUUGGGAAAGUCGAAGUAUUUGGGUCAUUGAGGGCAAGUUUUUUGGAAAUGAAUGAAAACCCCUGGGAAGUUUUGAAAUAAACUGUACAACAGGGUGCACCUCCAGGUAUUUUCUUCCCAUCACAAACUUUGAAAACUUUCCACCCUAGCCAGCCAGCCAUCUGCCUUUCUUUCUACUGGUGAUGCUUUGAGUUUGUUUUUUUUUUUUUAAUUUUGGCAAGGGAUCUCACUAAGUUAUUAAAUUGCCUGGGUGUGGCUCAAACGUGUGUUCUUCCUGACUUCCAAAUUGUUGGGAUUACAGGUGUGCACAUAUUUAAAUAUCAAAUUUAAAUACUUAAAUGUUGUUACCAGUUAAACUAAUGGAAUCAAUGAAAUUUAAAAUACAAGCUAAUUUUGCAAAUAUGUGUUUUUUGUUUUUUUUUUUCCAGUACCAAGAAUUGAACUCAUGACCUCACAUUUGCCAGGCAGGCACUGUGCUGCUGAGCUAAUCCCCAGCCCCUACAAAUAUGUGUUAAGCAUGGUUUAUGAGGCAGAUCCUGUAUCACUGUCUCUGUUGUCUGCAGGUUCUUGCGUCUGUGGCUAUCUCCAGCAAAGCACACAGGUGGAGCGGGCAGUCCAUUACUACAUAUGUCAUGAAAGCCAAUUUUGGAAAGAGCAGCCCACCAGUUUUCCAGCACACACUGAGGAAGACUGCAUCACUCUAGGGCUUGGGUACCAGGAGGGGGCAUCACUGGGUGCUUAAUCAGAAGCUGCCUACCAUGUACAAUUUGGGAUUCCUGUGGGGACCUGGAGAAGCUGUCACUCUGUCAACAAGGGAGUGGUAAAGGAAUCUCAGCUUUAGAAAGAAGUAAUUUUUAACUAUAUGAAGCUGCGAUACUGCAGAAGGUUUGGGCACCUACCCUGUGAUUUGUGGAGUAACCCAGAUCUAUUGACUUUAGAAGUGGAUUUUUGGUAGCUAAUCACUGUGGACGUAUGUUCCUGACCAUGAUGUAAAAUGGAACCUUUGCCGUGUCCCCAGAGUCCUAUCACUGGUGGUUCUGCUCUAUCUCUGUCUCAAGAACAUUUUUUUAAAUCUCAAUAAAUUUUU
rnacentral:lncRNA from 1 species